rnacentral:rRNA from 1 species
GAUGAACGCUGGCGGCGUGCUUAACACAUGCAAGUCGAACGGAAAGGCUCCUGCUUGCAGGGGUACUCGAGUGGCGAACGGGUGAGUAACACGUGGGUGAUCUGCCCUGCACUUCGGGAUAAGCCUGGGAAACUGGGUCUAAUACCGGAUAGGACGAUGGGCUGCAUGGCAUUGUGGAGAGAUUUUUCGGUGUGGGAUGAGCUCGCGGCGUAUCAGCUUGUUGGGGGGGUAUUGGCCUACCAAGGCGUCGACGGGUAGCCGGCCUGAGAGGGUGUACGGCCACAUUGGGACUGAGAUACGGCCCAGACUCCUACGGGAGGCAGCAGUGGGGAAUAUUGCACAAUGGGCGGAAGCCUGAUGCAGCGACGCCGCGUGGGGGAUGACGGCCUUCGGGUUGUAAACUCCUUUCGCUAGGGACGAAGCGCAAGUGACGGUACCUGGAGAAGAAGCACCGGCUAACUACGUG